GUGUUUGCUUUGGCAUAUAUAUUAAAAUUGGAAUGAUAUGGAGAAGGUUAGUAUGGCCCCUGAGCAAGGAUGACACACAAUUCGUGGAGUUCCAAAUUUUUUU